CAGAGAAUAGUUAAUAUAGAAUAGUAAGUUUGGGGCUUAUAGGAGAGACAAUCUUUUCUGA
rnacentral:tRNA from 1 species